rnacentral:rRNA from 1 species
UACGGAGGGUGCGAGCGUUGUCCGGAACUCAGUGGCGUAAAGGGCGCGUAGGUGGCGCCGCAAGUCAACGGUGAAAGCUCGACGCUUAACGUCGAGUCGGCCGUCGAGACUGCGGGGCUCGAGCACUGUAGAGGCUCAUGGAAUUCCGGGUGUAGCGGUGGAAUGCGUAGAGAUCCGGAAGAACACCGGUGGCGAAGGCGGUGAGCUGGGCAGUUGCUGACACUGAGGCGCGACAGCGUGGGGAGCAAACAGG